UCCGACCUACACAUGCAAGUCGAACGGUAGCACAGAGAGCUUGCUCUCGGGUGACGAGUGGCGGACGGGUGAGUAAUGUCUGGGAAACUGCCCGAUGGAGGGGGAUAACUACUGGAAACGGUAGCUAAUACCGCAUAACGUCGCAAGACCAAAGAGGGGGACCUUCGGGCCUCUUGCCAUCGGAUGUGCCCAGAUGGGAUUAGCUUGUAGGUGAGGUAACGGCUCACCUAGGCGACGAUCCCUAGCUGGUCUGAGAGGAUGACCAGCCACACUGGAACUGAGACACGGUCCAGACUCCUACGGGAGGCAGCAGUGGGGAAUAUUGCACAAUGGGCGCAAGCCUGAUGCAGCCAUGCCGCGUGUAUGAAGAAGGCCUUCGGGUUGUAAAGUACUUUCAGCGGGGAGGAAGGGAGUGAGGUUAAUAACCUCAUUCAUUGACGUUACCCGCAGAAGAAGCACCGGCUAAUUCCGUGCCAGCAGCCGCGGUAAUACGGAGGGUGCAAGCGUUAAUCGGAAUUACUGGGCGUAAAGCGCACGCAGGCGGUCUGUCAAGUCGGAUGUGAAAUCCCCGGGCUCAACCUGGGAACUGCAUUCGAAACUGGCAGGCUGGAGUCUUGUAGAGGGGGGUAGAAUUCCAGGUGUAGCGGUGAAAUGCGUAGAGAUCUGGAGGAAUACCGGUGGCGAAGGCGGCCCCCUGGACAAAGACUGACGCUCAGGUGCGAAAGCGUGGGGAGCAAACAGGAUUAGAUACCCUGGUAGUCCACGCUGUAAACGAUGUCGACUUGGAGGUUGUUCCCUUGAGGAGUGGCUUCCGGAGCUAACGCGUUAAGUCGACCGCCUGGGGAGUACGGCCGCAAGGUUAAAACUCAAAUGAAUUGACGGGGGCCCGCACAAGCGGUGGAGCAUGUGGUUUAAUUCGAUGCAACGCGAAGAACCUUACCUACUCUUGACAUCCAGAGAACUUAGCAGAGAUGCUUUGGUGCCUUCGGGAACUCUGAGACAGGUGCUGCAUGGCUGUCGUCAGCUCGUGUUGUGAAAUGUUGGGUUAAGUCCCGCAACGAGCGCAACCCUUAUCCUUUGUUGCCAGCGAUUCGGUCGGGAACUCAAAGGAGACUGCCAGUGUUAACUGGAGGAAGGUGGGGAUGACGUCAAGUCAUCAUUGGCCCUUACGAGUAGGGCUACACACGUGCUACAAUGGCAUAUACAAAGAGAAGCGACCUCGCGAGAGCAAGCGGACCUCAUAAAGUAUGUCGUAGUCCGGAUUGGAGUCUGCAACUCGACUCCAUGAAGUCGGAAUCGCUAGUAAUCGUGGAUCAGAAUGCCACGGUGAAUACGUUCCCGGGCCUUGUACACACCGCCCGUCACACCAUGGGAGUGGGUUGCAAAAGAAGUAGGUAGCUUAACCUUCGGGAGGGCGCUUACCACUUUGUGAUUCAUGACUGGGGUGAAGUUCCGUAUCAAGAUA
rnacentral:rRNA from 1 species